GUGGUAUCAACACAGAGAAAAUCGCGAGAGCUUGGAGAAAGUACAUCAAAACGAAAAAAUAAUUCCCGUUCACAAAACGUUCCAGAGAGUGUUGCAGAGGAUCAAGGGAUGGAAUCUGGAGCAGAAAGAAUCAGACUGGAAUAUUUAAUAUUUUUACUCGUACUUUUAUAUUUGAAACUUCUUAUUGAAUUGUAUGAUUUACAUCUUCCUUCAAUUCCUGAAGAACUUUAAAUAUCUAUAAUUUGUACAAGUGUGCCGUGAACAUAAUAAUAAUUGAAAUAUUAACUAAUUAGAACAAAUGUA